CAAGUCGCGGGAAUCCAGCAAUGGGGAACCGGCGUAAGGGGCAGUAAGGCAUGGGUAUCUACCCAGGGGUUCGGGAUAGCCACCAGAGAUGGUGGGUAAUGCCGGAUGAUGUCGUGAGACCAAAGGUCCGCCGCCCUUGGAGGAGCCCAUGUGAUAUUAGCUAGUUGGUGAGGUAACGGCUCACCAAGGCGAAGAUGUCUAGCGGGUGUGAGAGCACGACCCGCGCCACUCGCACUGAGACACUGGCGAGACACCUACGGGUGGCUGCAGUCGAGGAUCUUCGGCAAUGGGGGCAACCCUGACCGAGCGAUGCCGCGUGCGCGAUGAAGGCCUUCGGGUUGUAAAGCGCGAAAGUGGGGAGAAACGCCGAAAGGCUUGAUCUAUCCACAGUAAGCUCGGGCUAAGUUCGUGCCAGCAGCCGCGGUAAGACGAACCGAGCGAACGUUGUUCGGAAUCACUGGGCUUAAAGGGCGCGUAGGCGGGCUGUCAAGUCUGGGGUGAAAUCCCGCGGCUCAACCGUGGAACUGCCUCAGAUACUGACGGCCUCGAGGGAGAUAGGGGCGAGCGGAACUAAUGGUGGAGCGGUGAAAUGCGUUGAUAUCAUUAGGAACUCCGGUGGCGAAGGCGGCUCGCUGGAUCUCUUCUGACGCUGAGGCGCGAAAGCUAGGGGAGCAAACGGGAUUAGAUACCCCGGUAGUCCUAGCCCUAAACGUUGGGUACUAGGUAGUAGACUAGACAUGGGUUUACUGCCGAAGCAAAAGUGCUAAGUACCCCGCCUGGGGAGUAUGGUCGCAAGGCUGAAACUCAAAGGAAUUGACGGGGGCUCACACAAGCGGUGGAA
rnacentral:rRNA from 1 species